rnacentral:lncRNA from 1 species
CCAGCAUAUCUGUGAACUGAUCUGGGGCCAGAGCUCAGGGAAAAACAGAGGUAAGUUGUGGUGGGGACCUCCCCAACCCCUACGCACACACACGCACACACAUGCGCAGCAAGACUCCUCCCUGGAGGUGGAAGUAGCGGUGAUGUCAGGCUCCCGGACUUGUGUAUUCAACCCGGACUUCUGGGAGCCACCACCAUCAACUAAGGACAAUUUGUAAACGAGGUCCAUCUGCUCCCUCCUGUAUUAGUUCUGAUGUGGGCUAUUAUUUUCAAGACUACUGCUGAGAUGGUGAGCGUGGGAUGGAACUAGGGGUCAGGACAGCAGCUUGGUCUUCCCAGGUGAGGAACUGAGGACUGGCCUGCAUAGAUUUGUGCAGUAGCGAGGGCCGAGGUAGGGGCAGAUAGAUCACCAGACAGGCGGAGAAGGACAGGAGUACAGAUGGAGGGACCAGGACACAGAAUGCAAAAGACUGGCAGAAGCAGGUUUGCGAGCUCGAAUACCUUUGCUCCACUGCCACACGCAGCACCGGGACUGGGCGUCUGGAGCUUAAGUCUGGGGGUCUGAGCCUGGGACCGGCAAAUCCGCGCAGCGCAUCGCGCCCAGUCUCGGAGACUGCAACCACCGCCAAGGAGUACGCGCGGCAGGAAACUUCUGCGGCCCAAUUUCUUCCCCAGCUUUGGCAUCUCCGAAGGCACGUACCCGCCCUCGGCACAAGCUCUCUCGUCUUCCACUUCGACCUCGAGGUGGAGAAAGAGGCUGGCAAGGGCUGUGCGCGUCGCUGGUGUGGGGAGGGCAGCAGGCUGCCCCUCCCCGCUUCUGCAGCGAGUUUUCCCAGCCAGGAAAAGGGAGGGAGCUGUUUCAGGAAUUUCAGUGCCUUCACCUAGCGACUGACACAAGUCGUGUGUAUAGGAAGGCGUCUGGCUGUUUCGGGACUCACCAGAGAGCAUCGCCAACCAGAACGGCCCACCCGGGGUGUCGAGUCUUGGUAGGGAAAUCAGACACAGCUGCACUCCCGGCCCGCGGGCCUUGUGGCAUAUAACCAUUUAUAUAUUUAUGAUUUC